GGUGAAAAGCACCCCGGAAGGGGAGUGAAAUAGAACCUGAAACCGUGUGCUUACAAGUAGUCAGAGCCCGUUAAUGGGUGAUGGCGUGCCUUUUGUAGAAUGAACCGGCGAGUUACGAUUUGAUGCAAGGUUAAGCAGUAAAUGUGGAGCCGUAGCGAAAGCGAGUCUGAAUAGGGCGUUUAGUAUUUGGUCGUAGACCCGAAACCAGGUGAUCUACCCUUGGUCAGGUUGAAGUUCAGGUAACACUGAAUGGAGGACCGAACCGACUUACGUUGAAAAGUGAGCGGAUGAACUGAGGGUAGCGGAGAAAUUCCAAUCGAACCUGGAGAUAGCUGGUUCUCUCCGAAAUAGCUUUAGGGCUAGCCUCAAGUGAUGAUUAUUGGAGGUAGAGCACUGUUUGGACGAGGGGCCCCUCUCGGGUUACCGAAUUCAGACAAACUCCGAAUGCCAAUUAAUUUAACUUGGGAGUCAGAACAUGGGUGAUAAGGUCCGUGUUCGAAAGGGAAACAGCCCAGACCACCAGCUAAGGUCCCAAAAUAUAUGUUAAGUGGAAAAGGAUGUGGCGUUGCCCAGACAACUAGGAUGUUGGCUUAGAAGCAGCCAUCAUUUAAAGAGUGCGUAAUAGCUCACUAGUCGAGUGACACUGCGCCGAAAAUGUACCGGGGCUAAACAUAUUACCGAAGCUGUGGAUUGUCCUUUGGACAAUGGUAGGAGAGCGUUCUAAGGGCGUUGAAGCAUGAUCGUAAGGACAUGUGGAGCGCUUAGAA
rnacentral:rRNA from 1 species